UACGGAGGGAGCUAGCGUUGUUCGGAAAUACUGGGCGUAAAGCGCACGUAGGCGGCGCAGCAAGUCAGGGGUGAAAUCCCGGGGCUCAACCUCGGAACUGCCCUUGAAACUGCAGUGCUAGAAUCUUGGAGAGGCGAGUGGAAUUCCGAGUGUAGAGGUGAAAUUCGUAGAUAUUCGGAAGAACACCAGUGGCGAAGGCGACUCGCUGGACAAGUAUUGACGCUGAGGUGCGAAAGCGUGGGGAGCAAACAGGG
rnacentral:rRNA from 1 species